rnacentral:rRNA from 1 species
AUUGAACGCUGGCGGCAUGCCUUACACAUGCAAGUCGAACGGCAGCACGGGAGCAAUCCUGGAGGCGAGUGGCGAACGGGUGGGUAAUAUAUCGGAACGUGCCCAGUCGUGGGGGAUAACGUAGCGAAAGCUACGCUAAUACCGCAUACGAUCUAUGGAUGAAAGCGGGGGAUCGCAAGACCUCGCGCGAUUGGAGCGGCCGAUAUCAGAUUAGGUAGUUGGUGAGGUAAAGGCUCACCAAGCCGACGAUCUGUAGCUGGUCUGAGAGGACGACCAGCCACACUGGGACUGAGACACGGCCCAGACUCCUACGGGAGGCAGCAGUGGGGAAUUUUGGACAAUGGGCGCAAGCCUGAUCCAGCAAUGCCGCGUGCAGGAUGAAGGCCUUCGGGUUGUAAACUGCUUUUGUACGGAGCGAAAAGGCUUCCACUAAUACUGGGGGCUCAUGACGGCACCGUAAGAAUAAGCACCGGCUAACUACGUGCCAGCCGCCGCGGUAAUAC